rnacentral:rRNA from 1 species
GGUAUACCUGGAGACAGGUGCCCCGCUUGCGGUCGGUUUACAGGUGGUGCAUGGUUGUCGUCAGCUCGUGUCGUGAGAUGUUGGGUUAAGUCCCGCAACGAGCGCAACCCUCGUUCUAUGUUGCCAGCACGUGAUGGUGGGGACUCAUAGGAGACUGCCGGGGUCAACUCGGAGGAAGGUGGGGACGACGUCAAAUCAUCAUGCCCCUUAUGUCUUGGGCUUCACGCAUGCUACAAUGGCCGGUACAAAGGGUUGCGAUACUGUGAGGUGGAGCUAAUCCCAAAAAGCCGGUCUCAGUUCGGAUUGGGGUCUGCAACUCGACCCCAUGAAGUCGGAGUCGCUAGUAAUCGCAGAUCAGCAACGCUGCGGUGAAUACGUUCCCGGGCCUUGUACACACCGCCCGUCAAGUCACGAAAGUUGGUAACACCCGAAGCCGGUGGCCUAACCCCUUGUGGGAGGGAGCUGUCGAAGGUGGGACUGGCGAUUGGGACUAAGUCGUAACAAGUUAAC